GGUAGGAUGGCCGAAUGUCCAGGUGGUGGGUUGUAGCCCCGAAGAAUAGAGGUUUAAAUCCUCUUCCUAUCA
rnacentral:tRNA from 1 species